ACAUGCAUGCCUAGGAUGCAUAGCCAGGCUACUCUGGAGCAGCACGUUCUCUCCUUACCGCUGUCAGAAUCAAUCCACCUGGAUACAAUAUCACGCUGGCUACACCAGAUUUAAAAUCAGCCUCAGAACACCAGCCUCUGACCUGCACGUGUGCAGAACCAAUGCUUCUCUAAAGCAAAACAGCCAGUUAUUUUCUUUUAUGGAAUGACUCACCGAGGAGUUAAGACUGUUCUCUCUUACAGACCUGACCCAUCAGCACUCCUCCACCCAUUCAUCCACUUGUGAUUGCACUCCUGACACACAGAGAGCAGAUGAGGAAUAUGGGUCAGAGUGGAGUUUGGUGGCUGACUAAAGACCCAGAGGGCCACGAUCCAGGAAUGACUCGGAGGAUUAGAAUGCCCUCACUGAAUCUGUUGGCCUGCAGACCAUGUUGACUGGCAUGCCUCUGCUCGAGACUGUCUGCGACAGCUGAGAUUGCUGUAUCGGUCAAGCGUGAGUGCAUUUCUGCACCUGUCAAUGAGCGCAGGAAGCAGCAUUAGCAGAUCGCUGGUGUGCAGCCAAGAGAUCUCCAGCAGCAGAAGCCACGGCCAGGAUCAGCAGGAGAAAACACAGCAGGAGGGGAGGGGAAGAGCACAGGGGGAAAAUACACCAAGAAAGGAAAAAAAGUACACCAACAGACCAUAAUGUAUCAGUCGCCGGAUUAAAAAUAAAAAUCCAGUGUGAACCAGGCAUAACUGCGAGCAUAAUUGGUGAAAACUGUUGUAUAAAUGCCUAGGGUUCAUGCUCACACACUCUUAGUUUGUUGCUGUUUCUGAAGACUGCAUCAUUGUGAUAAAACUAACAUUUGUUGGGUGAUAAUUUGUGAUUACACUUUACAGUUUAUAUUGUUUUCAUGUGCGCUCAGAACCUCUCCUCUGUCACCCACAUAACUCCUGCUCUGACAUGUUGGGAAAUACGCUUAUUAACUUUCUUACAAGGUCGUAAUAAGACGAACCAUGCUACUGCCGUGUGUAGAGUAAAUAGGAAGCUGAAUGUUUGCCUGAUAAAGCAUUAAGACUUCAGUUCAUUUAACCUUGAUCAUUGAGAAACAAUUAUAAACGGUUUGUUUAUCACUGGUUUCACAGAGGGCUAGAAAUGACAGUUUGUGGUUUUUAUGGAGUAAAGUCUAAGAUAAUUGCUGCCAUGUCUUAAAGCUUCAAAUCUUCCAGGAAAUGUGAUAGAAGAUAGAGAAUAAAGUUAGAAAAUAGAGGCGAUGUUUGUUUUAGUUCCUCUAGUUUUGUCCAGAUUAAUUUUAUUAACAGUACAGAAAUUAUAAUCUUUAUUGUUCAUCGGUGCUAAAUUGUGUGUGUGUGUUUAAACUCAGCUUAGCAAAGAACUGAAAAUGUCCCGCCAGAUAUGUACUUGUAAUAACUGUAAUAACUGUGUUUUCCCAAGAAAUAAAUUCAUAGACUUUUCCAUAACCACACCUUAAAUUCCAGCACAUAAUGAGGAGGGUCUGUUGUGCCAGAAUAUAAUUGCCUAUAAGUUAUAUACAGUAUGUUCAAGCUACAAAACAGAGAGAAAAAUAACAGUGAUUUUGUUUUUUAUAUUUUUAUAUGUGAUGUGAUCCAAAAUAUUAUUGAGUCAAACAUUAGCCCUUCCAAUCUUAGUAACGAUAUACAAAUAAUAGUGUGUUCUGGUCGUGUUUGGCAAGAAAUGGACUCACUAAGUUUAACCAGUAGCAGGUGGUCUCCUCAUUGAGAGAACUUGGUGGUGCGAUUAUCAAACUGCUAAUUCAGGAUCUCAACCACAUUGCCCUUAAGUGAGCGUGGCAGUAACACUUGCCAAAAUAAUUAAGGGUAUCCAAAGAAUUUGCAGCUGCAGUGUUUAGACUGUGGAGCACGAACGGAUUCAAGGACUGCAGUGUCACCGAGUCAACUGUUUGCCGUGCGUUAUUUUUAAAUAGGUCACCGGUUUCAUCCAGCAGACAGCUUGAUCAGUA